rnacentral:rRNA from 1 species
GAUGAACGCUGGCGGCGUGCCUAAUACAUGCAAGUCGAGCGAACAGAUGAGGAGCUUGCUCCUCUGACGUUAGCGGCGGACGGGUGAGUAACACGUGGAUAACCUACCUAUAAGACUGGGAUAACUUCGGGAAACCGGAGCUAAUACCGGAUAAUAUAUUGAACCGCAUGGUUCAAUAGUGAAAGACGGUUUUGCUGUCACUUAUAGAUGGAUCCGCGCCGCAUUAGCUAGUUGGUAAGGUAACGGCUUACCAAGGCAACGAUGCGUAGCCGACCUGAGAGGGUGAUCGGCCACACUGGAACUGAGACACGGUCCAGACUCCGACGGGAGGCAGCAGUAGGGAAUCUUCCGCAAUGGGCGAAAGCCUGACGGAGCAACGCCGCGUGAGUGAUGAAGGUCUGCGGAUCGUAAAACUCUGUUAUUAGGGAAGAACAAAUGUGUAAGUAACUAUGCACGUCUUGACGGUACCUAAUCAGAAAGCCACGGCUAACUACGUG